UGUAGUAUAAUUUUUAUAUUACAUGAUAUUUAUUUAUAGAUUUUGAUAAUGUAUUAAAGUUAAAUUUAAAAAUAAAUAUUGAUAAAGAACACAAGAAAGAAAAGUUCAAGUAUUAUUUGGUGCGUCCGAGUGGAUUUGAACCACCGAUCCCCACCA
rfam:Enterobacteriaceae bacterium symbiont of Ferrisia virgata isolate GEFVIR genome assembly, chromosome: I